UCCCCAGCCGUUUGCUACUCUUUCCUUUCCUUUUCCUUUUCCUUUCCAAUCCAUGGCAGGAGAAGACCACGGCUGUGACAAAAACAUUGCAGUAAAAAAUGCCUUCAUUAACUACAAAAGCGGAUCACAGGAUUUCAAAGACGCCACAAUUACGACCCCAGCGGUUGAAUCUGCCUUCUUAAACAAAGGAUCAGGCCGCCAAGAUUUCAGUCGCUCAAAGAUUGAAUGUGGUCCAUCUAUUUGGGAAAAAUUCAAACGCCUUUUCAACUACGACGGAACCGAAACCAAGAAAUACGGUGAUUUUCCAGAGCAUCCACCCGCGGAAUUGACGCAAAAUAUUCCUUCCAAACCUGUUGAGGUGGUGAAAAGAUCUUCAAGCAUACCGAAGUCCAAUCACAAAACUUCUACUUCCAAACGCUGAUUGUGCAGGGACUAGUAGUGACUGAUGACAUGCAUGGAGGUAUUUUUGAAUAAAGUCGAGCCUCUGCCUCCGCCCAGCGAACGGUUCCAUGGAGCGCUCAACACUGUUUUCUUCAAUGUCUGUAUGAGAUUGCUUGCGUGACAACAAGUCUUUCUUAAUAAAUAUUUAAUGUAUUAAUUAUAAUUUUCUGUAUUUUUACAUUGAGUAGUAUAUAGGUUUUUUUG